AACUCACUUCUCACCACGGCCAGGAAAUGAAAGAUCGCUCGACAAACGGCCGCUUUCAGUCAGUUGGAUCUGAUCUUAUACCCGCACACGAGAGCUACCGGAGCAGCAGCAGAUUAACAAGGACCCAAGCUGGACUCCCAAGUUCUUCGGCUCAAGGCGCUAAGGUGCUAAUGUGUUGGAGACGUGCCUGUACUUGUUGAGCGUUUUAUCUGUAGAGUGCUAUAUUGUGAUUGGUGUAAUAUUGUAUGGUUAUAUUGUGAUUGGUGGAAUGUAAUAAACUUGAUUGGUAUAUUGGUGAUUUGGCUGUUAUUUGAAUAUAUUUAAAAUGUGUUCUCUGAUUGGUA